UAGGGAAUCUUCCGCAAUGGACGCAAGUCUGACGGAGCAACGCCGCGUGAGUGAAGAAGGAUUUCGGUUCGUAAAACUCUGUUGUUAGAGAAGAACAGCGCAUAGAGUAACUGUUAUGCGUGUGACGGUAUCUAACCAGAAAGCCACGGCUAACUACGUGCCAGCAGCCGCGGUAAUACGUAGGUGGCAAGCGUUGUCCGGAUUUAUUGGGCGUAAAGCGAGCGCAGGCGGUCAAUUAAGUCUGAUGUGAAAGCCCCCGGCUCAACCGGGGAGGGUCAUUGGAAACUGGUUGACUUGAGUGCAGAAGAGGAGAGUGGAAUUCCAUGUGUAGCGGUGAAAUGCGUAGAUAUCACACAGAACUCCGAUUGCGCAGGCAGCGUACUACAUUACAACUGACACUGAAGCACGAAAGCGUGGGUAUCAAACAGG
rnacentral:rRNA from 1 species